rnacentral:rRNA from 1 species
AGCGAACGCUGGCGGCAGGCCUAACACAUGCAAGUCAAACGGAUCCUUCGGGAUUAGUGGCGGACGGGUGAGUAACACGUGGGAACGUGCCCUUUGGUUCGGAACAACUCAGGGAAACUUGAGCUAAUACCGGAUGUGCCCUUCGGGGGGAAGAUUUAUCGCCAUUGGAGCGGCCCGCGUCUGAUUAGCUAGUUGGUGAGGUAAAGGCUCACCAAGGCGACGAUCAGUAGCUGGUCUGAGAGGAUGAUCAGCCACAUUGGGACUGAGACACGGCCCAAACUCCUACAGGAGGCAGCAGUGGGGAAUCUUGCGCAAUGGGCGAAAGCCUGACGCAGCCAUGCCGCGUGAAUGAUGAAGGUCUUAGGAUUGUAAAAUUCUUUCACCGGGGACGAUAAUGACGGUACCCGGAGAAGAAGCCCCGGCUAACUUCGUGCCAGCCGCCGCCGUAAUAC